AUGAAAUUUUCCGUUGCCUUGCGCCACGCAAUUCAGGAGCUUGAAGUUUGAAAGACGGGAGAUCUCCUUAAAAUACGCUUGUGUGACAGAUCUGCGUUUGGUUGCAGAAAAUUUAUUAGGGAAUAUGAAAAGACUCACUUGCUCCGUCCCCUCAGAAAAUGGCGGAAAGAGAAAAGGAAGCAACGAUACGCCGCUGUAAUUGAUAAGCGAAGUAUGAACACAGAGCCCUGCAAACGUUGCUAAAGUAGCUCUCUACUUCAUAAGACGCUAUCUGAUAAGCUACCGUAACAAGCAAUUUGCCCAAGGAAGACACUCUCUGGAAGUAAGCGCUGACCGCUACUAGUUCUGAAGAGUCCGGGCAGCUGGGAAAUAGACUACUGCAGAUUUCAUGUGCGGUUGUGCAUGGGAAAGGGAAAAGGCACGCCGCACGCUGGAACUGACCGGUGAUUUGAAUGGGGAGGGACGUGGCAAUAAACGAUCAGUUAAAGACAUAAAUGCUUCUGUGGGGUACGGUGCCUACUAUUAUGAGAAAGUUGUGAGGCGGGCGAGAUUCGGGAGGGCGUUAAGCAUAAUUUGAUGGGAAAAGACAGUAAGAGAGAAAUGUUGUACGCUUAGGAAAAAUCAUACGUGAGUACAAGUUGGACUCGUGUUUACAGCACAAGAGUUCAGCUCUCAGACUCGUGCGUGUUAAAAACAGAUUCGCGAAAUGUAUCCGCGGACCGAGAAAUCCAAUUCCCAUCUAGCUCGAAUGCUGUCAUUUCUCGAAUUCCAGGUAACCUAUCGAUUUGGCGCGCGCUUUCCUUUCUCAGAGGAUUUUUGGGAAAUCGUAUAUAUUGAACAUCUGGAAAGUUUCCCUAACAGCACGAUAAAUUUGAACCAAAGUACUGUGGUUAAGCAGAAUGAAACCUGACAGCAUUGCUUUUUUUAAGCAGACUUUCUCUAGUUCCAGUUAUAAGAGCUUCUUUCUGUAGGAUGAGUUUAUGUUUCCAGAUGUUCAAAGCAAGUAAAAGGUCACUUGCCGUAGAUCUAUCCACUUGUCCUUUACGGUUGUAAAUCAGGGAACAAACACGGCUUUUAACAAAUGCCUCUUCUUCAAGUACCCAAAAGGAUUUGCAAAAAUGGAAUACUGAACUCUGACAUUUUACCUGCAAGUGAAAUGGCACAGUAACUUUGGACAGUUCUGAAUAACGUCACCGCAGGUGAAACUCUCCUAGAAACUGAGCAGCUCCGGGACAACGAACGCAUACGAGAGGGCACAUUUUUGAAUACGGUUGCUUAAUAUUCCCCUUGUACGAGCAGCACGGCACCGACAAAUUCCAACACUUCCACGAGCAAACACACGGAGCCCUGUAAACUCUGUGCACAAGUGAUGUUGUUCUCGGCAGGAAUGUUUGCUAAAUAGUUUCCGCGACGUUGAAGCGGAUCUACCGAGGAGAUCGCUAUCGCUCCCCGCUCUUACACAAGAGCAUGAGUGCACACACGCGCAGUCUAGAAACAGUGUAAAAGUCUGCUGAGUCAACCGACAAACGAGUACCUAUUCCCACCGACGGAACGGCAGUCCGAGUCACGGUUAACCUUAGUCUCGCUCGUGUUUUUCUGUCCUGUUUCACUUCAAAGUGUCUCCUUUUAGGAGGACUAUCAGCCGAUUCAGACAGGGAUACAGUAUCACUGCACGCGACAGUGCUUCCAUUAAUUCAACUGCGACUGAACAGUGUUCGGGUUACUUUGUUCUAUUUGUGGCGAAGGAAAGAAUUACUGUUGCGAAGCAAGGGAAGUAUUUGCUGAAAAGCAAGGAAACUUUCCACAAGUCUGUGUAACACAGCAACAAAAAGGGGCGUUGAUUUGUUCUACCCCUGUACUUAAAAAGGCGGGAACAAAUUCAGCAUCGCAAGCAAAGAACUAAACUAAUUCUGAUCUUUGGCAUCUGGAGUAGACGUUGUAAAAUCCCCAGAGAUAACGUGCAAAACUGUGAACGUUUCAUGCACUGGCACUACGUCUCAAACUUUUCAAGCUGCAUACUGUCUGAAUUGUCCCGGUAUGCCAAGCCUGAAGGUUUUGGGGUAGCUGUCAGGGCUCCGGGCGGGCCUAAGGCAGCUCAGCUGCGCUAACGAACCCAUCACCUCCACGUGCCACAGGGCUGCCCGGGCACAGCUGCGCCCUGUUGGGAGCCCAGGGCAGGGCCCACCCUCCAAGCCUCUUAAACCCUGCCGGAGGCUGCAGGGAGCCACUGGGAGUUCUUGCUGCUCCUGUAGCGGGAGGCUGCUGGGCUCGCUUGCUGCUUUUUGGAUGUCUGCCUGAGAACUACAGCGGGGCCUCUUGCAGCAAGGAUUGCUUCUGGCAGCGAUGGGGACCGUGCUGGCUGUGCUCCCUCCCUGAGGGCCAUCCCGCGGCGUGAGGACUACUGCUGUGGGGUGAGUGAGAGCUGCUGUGAGGCAUUGAGGAACAAGGCUCAGCGUAAACAGGGUUGGUGUUCCGGCAGUGGGCUGUUGCUGAAGUCCCUGAGGUGUCCUCCGCUCCCCCAAGGCAGUUCUACAGGUGCUGUGGUCUCCUGCUUGUGCUGGUUGUGGGGAUGAGUAGAACGUGAUGAUGCCCUGCACUCCCCUGUGUGCCCUGUCGUUGCUGGGGGUGAGAAGCAACGUGAGGGGUUUCAAAUGUAAGUGAUGCUUGAUAAUCAGCUUUUUCAUCUUCUUCACUGUUGUUAUCCUUUUAGGGGAACUGCUGAAUUGGGGCCUGAACCUCUGAUUGAGUACCUGAGGUGAGCAACGAGUCAGCCCUGGGAGCACAGGUGAAGGUAAUUCACCUGUGCUGCCAGAAGGUGUAAAGGUUGGCUCCACCUCUCCUGGACCCCACUUAAGAGCUGACUACUGGUGAGGAAGGAUCCAUUUGGUGAGAUCCCUCCUUUUGGAGUUUUACUGUGGGAUGAGGGUAAGUCCUCUAUCUAUUCUUUUUUGUGUGUACUAACCUGUUUAGCCAAACUUGUUCAGGUUUAAGUAUAAUAUCUGUAUAUUGAUGAUGCAAUCCUGUUGCAGGGUAAUGGCUGCAAUGAUGUGUUUUUCCUGAAUGGUGAUGUGACUGAGUAAUGGGAUAACAGGUCCAGGGUGAGGAUCCUGGUGCUGUGAAGCGGUUGGCAGUCCUUCAGAGUGAGCCUUGAAGGUGCGUGGCAGCUGCAUGGGACUGGCUCAAUGAGGGGAGAAGGCCUGUUGGGUGAGAUGCAGUGGUGAAGUUGUGCUGAAGGAUUCAGUGUGUGCCUUCUGAGCCAAGGGAAGCUGAGAGUUCUGAAUCUGCAGUUGAAGAUGGAACUUACACGGAGCGUGCUGUGUAUGCACUGGAUGGUAUCAACAGGCUAUGAGAGUUGAG